UACGUAGGGUGCAAGCGUUAAUCGGAAUUACUGGGCGUAAAGCGUGCGCAGGCGGUUUGUUAAGUCCGUUGUGAAAUCCCCGAGCUCAACUUGGGAAUUGCAAUGGAUACUGGCAAGCUGGAGUAUGGUAGAGGAAGGUGGAAUUCCCGGUGUAGCAGUGAAAUGCGUAGAGAUCGGGAGGAACACCAGUGGCGAAGGCGGCCUUCUGGACCAAUACUGACGCUGAGGUGCGAAAGCGUGGGGAGCAAACAGG
rnacentral:rRNA from 1 species